rnacentral:rRNA from 1 species
UAAACGGACCAUCGAGUAUCCAUUGGAGGGCAAGUCUGGUGCCAGCAGCUGCGGUAAUACCAGCUCCAAUAGCGUAUAUUAAAGUUGUUGCAGUUAAAAAGCUCGUAGUUGGACUUGUGUGCGCUGUCCGCGGGUGGCCUGCGCCCAAAAGGGCGUUUCGGUUCGGCCCCGGUGGCGCCUUGAAAUCUGCAGCUGGGGGGACGUUGGCCUUAACUGGUCGGCGACCGCACGCCGGCUGCUCGGUUACUGUGAGAAAAUUAGAGUGUUCAAGGCAGGCAUUGGGUGCAAUUGAAUACAUUAGCAUGGAAUAAUAAAAUAUGGCUCCUGCCGUAUUUUGUAGGUUUUGACUGGUGGGAGUAAUGAUUGAUAGGGACGGUUGGGGGUGCUAGUAUUGAGCGGCCAGAGGUGAAAUUCAUGGAUUCGCUCAAGACUAACUUAUGCGAAAGCAUUCACCAAGGACGUCCUCUUUAAUCAAGAACGAAAGUUGGGGGAUCGAAGACGAUCAGAUACCGUCGUAGUCUCAACCAUAAACUAUGUCGACUUGGGAUCGGCGGUAGUUUUUUCAUUAAGACACUGUCGGGACCACGGGAGAAAUCAAAGUGUCUGGACUCUGGGGGAAGUAUGGUCGCAAGGCUGAAACUUGAAGGAAUUGACGGAAGGGCACCACCAGGAGUGGAGCCUGCGGCUUAAUUUGACCCAACACGGGGAAACUUACCAGGUCCAGAGAUGUAGAGGAUUGACAGAUUGAAGCUCUUUCUUGAUCACUUCGGUGGUGGUGCAUGGCCGUUCUUAGUUGGUGGAGUGAUUUGUCUGGUUAAUUCCGUUAACGGACGAGACCUCAGCCUGCUAGUGUAGUCGGCUGGAUUGCCUUUGGCGAUCCGUGAUUUCGACUUCUUAGAGGGACAAUCGACGCGCAGUCGAUGGAAGUUUGAGGCAAUAACAGGUCUGUGAUGCCCUUAGAUGUUCUGGGCCGCACGCGCGCUACACUGCUGGGCUCAGCGAGUUUUACUUGGCCGAGAGGCCCGGUUAAUCUUGUGAAAUCCCAGCGUGCUUGGGCUCGCCUCCUGCAACUGGAGGCGCCAACGAGGAAUUCCUAGUAGACGCAGGUCAUCAACCUGCAUCGAUUACGUCCCUGCCCUUUGUACACACCGCCCGUCGUUCCAUAAGAGUGAGGCAUCCGGUGAAUUCUCGGGAGAGCCUGGGCGUGGCCAGCAAUGGUCUGCUCGGGUUUGAACUUGCAUAAACUUGGUGCCUAUGAUUAGGG